rnacentral:rRNA from 1 species
UGAGUAACGCGUAUCCAACCUCGGCCCUUAGUAGGGGAGUAGCCCGGCGAAAGUCGGAUUAAUACCCUAUGUUUUCCGUUGAGAGCAUUUGAAGCGGAGGAAAGAUUCAUCGCUAGGGGAUGGGGGAUGCGUCCGAUUAGGCAGCAGGCGGGGUAACGGCCACCUGGCCCGCGAUCGGUAGGGGUUCUGAGAGGAAGGUCCCCCACAUUGGAACUGAGACACGGUCCAAACUCCUACGGGAGGCAGCAGUGAGGAAUAUUGGCCAAUGGGCGCGAGCCUGAACCAACGCCAAGUAGCGUGAGGGAUGACGGCCCUAUGGGUUGUAAACCUCUUUUGCCGGGGAAUAAAGUCGGGGACGCGUCCCCGUUUGUAUGUACCCGGAGAAUAAGGACCGGCUAAUUCCGUGCCAGCAGCGGC